rnacentral:rRNA from 1 species
UCAGGAUGAACGCUGGCGGCGUGCUUAACACAUGCAAGUCGAACGGAGUGCUUUCGGGCACUUAGUGGCGGACGGGUGAGUAACGCGUGAGGAUCUGGCCUUAGGAGGGGAACAACAGUUGGAAACGACUGCUAAUGCCCCAUAUGCCGGGAGGUGAAAAGUUUUAUCGCCUGAGGAUGAACUCGCGUCUGAUUAGCUAGUUGGUGAGGUAAGGGCUCACCAAGGCGACGAUCAGUAGCUGGUCUAAGAGGAUGAUCAGCCACACUGGGACUGAGACACGGCCCAGACUCCUACGGGAGGCAGCAGUGGGGAAUUUUCCGCAAUGGGCGAAAGCCUGACGGAGCAACGCCGCGUGAGGGAGGAAGGCCUUAGGGUUGUAAACCUCUUUUCUCUGGGAAGAAGAACUGACGGUACCAGAGGAAUAAGCCUCGGCUAACUCCGUGCCAGCAGCCGCGGUAAGACGGAGGAGGCAAGCGUUAUCCGGAAUUAUUGGGCGUAAAGCGUCCGCAGGCGGCUAAUUAAGUCUGUUGUUAAAGUCUACAGCUCAACUGUGGGUAGGCGAUGGAAACUGGUUAGCUAGAGAGUGGUAGGGGUAGAGGGAAUUCCCGGUGUAGCGGUGAAAUGCGUAGAUAUCGGGAAGAACACCAGUGGCGAAGGCGCUCUACUGGGCCAUUACUGACGCUGAGGGACGAAAGCUAGGGGAGCGAAAGGGAUUAGAUACCCCUGUAGUCCUAGCUGUAAACGAUGGAUACUAGGUGUUGGGCGUAUCGACCCGUUCAGUACCGUAGCUAACGCGUUAAGUAUCCCGCCUGGGGAGUACGCACGCAAGUGUGAAACUCAAAGGAAUUGACGGGGGCCCGCACAAGCGGUGGAGGAUGUGGUUUAAUUCGAUGCAACGCGAAGAACCUUACCAAGGCUUGACAUGUCCAGGACCCUCAUGAAAGUGGGGGGUGCCUACGGGAACUGGAGCACAGGUGGUGCAUGGCUGUCGUCAGCUCGUGUCGUGAGAUGUUGGGUUAAGUCCCGCAACGAGCGCAACCCUCGUUCUUAGUUGCCAGCAUUAAGUUGGGCACUCUAGGGAGACUGCCGUGGACAACACGGAGGAAGGUGGGGACGACGUCAAGUCAUCAUGCCCCUUACGUCUUGGGCUACACACGUCCUACAAUGCUUCGGACAGAGGGCAGCGAGCGUGCGAACGUAAGCAAAUCCCAUAAACCGAGGCACAGUUCAGAUUGCAGGCUGCAACUCGCCUGCAUGAAGGCGGAAUCGCUAGUAAUCGCAGGUCAGCAUACUGCGGUGAAUACGUUCCCGGGCCUUGUACACACCGCCCGUCACACCAUGGGAGUUGGCCACGCCCGAAGUCGUUACUCUAACCGUUCGCGGAGGAGGGCGCCGAAGGCAGGGCUGAUGACUGGGGUGAAGUCGUAACAAGGUAGCCGUACCGGAAGGUGUGGCUGGAUCACCUCCUUUAAGGGAGACCUACCCUUGAUUACCCCGAGAUUUGUAGAUAGGGGAAUUGAGUGGUCACUCUAGGUCGUACAGGGAUUAUUGGUGAAGUUUCUAAACUAUGUCGAGGUUAAUCGAUAGAUUAGCUAGGGCUAUUAGCUCAGGUGGUUAGAGCGCACCCCUGAUAAGGGUGAGGUCCCUGGUUCGAGUCCAGGAUGGCCCACUAGUGGGGGUAUAGCUCAGAUGGUAGAGCGCCUGCUUUGCAAGCAGGAUGACAGCGGUUCGAGUCCGCUUACCUCCACCAUUGAGAAGGGAGAGACCUUUUAGCAAAGUAUGAGUUGGUAGGGACCGGCUUGUAGUCUGCUGGGAGAGAUCUCAGCGAGGACCUUGAAAACUGCAUAGUAAGAGAAGAAGUGUAAGGUAGUACACACAGAACAUUACGAGUCAAAGAGUAAUGAGCGCGAGAGAUUGAGUUUAGCGAGGUGAGUAGCGAGAGUUACUGAUUGAGUUAGACGAGGUCAAGCUAUAACGGGCUCACGGUGGAUACCUA